UAAUUGAAGAGUUUGAUCAUGGCUCAGAUUGAACGCUGGCGGCAGGCCUAACACAUGCAAGUCGAGCGGUAACAGGGGAAGCUUGCUUCCCGCUGACGAGCGGCGGACGGGUGAGUAAUGUAUGGGGAUCUGCCCGAUAGAGGGGGAUAACUACUGGAAACGGUAGCUAAUACCGCAUAAUCUCUCAGGAGCAAAGCAGGGGAACUUCGGUCCUUGCACUAUCGGAUGAACCCAUAUGGGAUUAGCUAGUUGGUGAGGUAAUGGCUCACCAAGGCGACGAUCCCUAGCUGGUCUGAGAGGAUGAUCAGCCACACUGGGACUGAGACACGGCCCAGACUCCUACGGGAGGCAGCAGUGGGGAAUAUUGCACAAUGGGCGCAAGCCUGAUGCAGCCAUGCCGCGUGUAUGAAGAAGGCCCUAGGGUUGUAAAGU
rnacentral:rRNA from 1 species